GACGAACGCUGGCGGCAUGCCUAACACAUGCAAGUCGAACGGAAAGGCCCUGCGUUUUUGGUGUGAUCGAGUGGCGAACGGGUGAGGAACACGUAAACAACCUACUCUUGACUUUGGGAUCACUUCAGGAAACUGGACCUAAUACCGUAUAGGAUCUCCUGCUGCAUUGUGGGGAUUGGAUAGUCUCGGCGGUUGGGGAUGGAUUGGCGGCUUAUCAGCUUGCUGGUGGGGUAGGGGCAUACCCAGGCUUGGACCGGUAGCCGGCCUGGGAGGUGGAACGGCGACACUGGGCCUGAGAUGAGGCACAGACUCGAAUGGGAGGGAGUGGUGGGGAGUAUUAUACAACGGGCGGAAGCCUGACGCGACGGCGCCGCGUGCGGGAUGACGUGAUGGGGGUAGUAAACCGCAUUCGUUUGAUACGAAGCGUGUGUGACGGUAACGUAUGAAUAAGCACCGGCUAACUACGUG
rnacentral:rRNA from 1 species